UCCCUGGUGGCUCAGAGGGUAAAGAAUCUGCCUGCAGUGCAGGAGACCCAGGUUCGAUCCUUGGGCUGGGAA
rnacentral:tRNA from 1 species